UUCACCUGGAAAAAAUAUCAGGGUAGAGAAAGGCAAAAUCUGUCUGCCUGGUUCAAAGUCUGGGUUUGCCUUUCUGAAAGGGAAUUACAUCAUGCUAGAAAAUAAUCACCUGAGGAUUCAAAGGCCAAGACACAAGGGCUGUACUCACAACAGGAGAGGUGGAUCCAAGUUCAGCUGUUCCCAGACCAGAGGUGCUCCCAGAGCACAACCACCAUCACCCAGAGCACGUGCUCUGCAUCCCAUACCCAACCCACAUGAGGAGCCACAAAACAGCUGUGAAGACAUCUGGCUGAACUAACCAAGCCCAUACAUCAGGUCUUUGUUCAGCUUCAGAUCCACAGACACAAUAUGAAAGAAGCAGUUGAGGAGUAAAAGGAGCAUAUUGCUGCAGAC